UCUUUUUCCACCUACUGCAUGGAUUGCUCCUUUCUUUUUGCAUAUGGGUGAUAGUCUGUGAGAACCUCACCAUUUAUAAGAGAGAGGGACGAAAGAUACCAAAGGAACAGUCAAACUCAUAAUCUUAUGAAAAAGCCAUGGCUAAAAAUGAAAAAAGACAAACAGAAAAACAAUAGUACACACGACACAACAUAGAAAACUAAAGAAUAAACAACACGAACCCCACCAAAAACUAGGGGUGAUCUCAGGUGCUCCGGAAGGGUAAGCAGAUCCUGCUCCACAUGUGACACCCGUCGUGUUGCUUAUGUGAUUACAAAUCCGG
rnacentral:lncRNA from 1 species